GAAUGGCAUCACGAAGGUUAUACUGUCUCCUUUCUCUAAUCAGUGAAACUAAUCUUCCCGUGAAGAAGCGGGAAUCUACAUAUAAGACGAGAAGACCCUAUGGAGCUUUAAACGAAAUAACAACUACCACAAUAAAUAAUAAUUCCAGAAGUUUAACUUUUACCCAGGUAUUUUGUCUAUUAGUUUUAGGUUGGGGUGACCGCGGAGCAAAAAACAACCUCCGCACUGAACGGGGCCAACCCUAAACAAAAAGCUACAACUUUAUGUAUCAGCACACUGACACCAAUUGACCCAAUAAUUUGAUCAACGAACCAAGUUACCCUAGGGAUAACAGCGCAAUCCAUUUCAAGAGCCCCUAUCGACAAAUGG
rnacentral:rRNA from 1 species